UUGGCCAUUCAGCACUCUCAGUUUGACCAAGGCAGGAGUGGGGGGAGUUUUGGGUGCCACAGACAGGGCAGCUUGACCCCCCGUCCUUCCUGAUAAGAAUUCUGUUGAAGUGGCUGAUGCAUGCAUUUUCGAAGAACAGGAUGUGCCCCAUGAAUGUUUAUUGGGGCCUCAAGGCUAAAAACUCUGGAACAACCCACACCUGGUUAAUCGAUAAUCAGAAGAAACCUCUUGCUUGACUAUUGAAACUGCUUACUUAACAAGUUUUCUUUAAGGGACAUGUCAUUCUAUAACUAAUGUAUAAAUAAGGGGGAAAAGUUUGAAGUAGUUGGACUCUUUUUGGACUCUCCCUCUGGAUACAUCGUGCAGUCCCCACUGGCAGACGGAAGAUUUGGCCACUGGAAGCCUGCCGCUGUGCCACUCGAGAGCCACACUCAGUUUUGAUGCAACCUUUAGAUCUCAGC